UAAACAUUGAUAUCUUUUUACACCAAUUAUCCGCCCGGGUACUACGAGCAUUAGCUUAAAACCCAAAGGACUUGGCGGUGCUUUAGACCCCCCUAGAGGAGCCUGUUCUAGAACCGAUAAUCCCCGUUCAACCUCACCCCCUCUUGUUUAUUCCGCCUAUAUACCGCCGUCGUCAGCCCACCCUGUGAAGGUCCAAUAGUGAGCAAAAAUGGCAAAGCCCAAAACGUCAGGUCGAGGUGUAGCAUAUGAGGGGGGAAGAAAUGGGCUACAUUCUCUAAACAACAGAGCAUACGGUUAAUAUAUUGAAAUAUAUAUUUUAAGGAGGAUUUAGUAGUAAGUAGGAAGUAGAGUGUCCUGCUGAACCCGGCUCUAAAGCGUGCACAUACCGCCCGUCACUCUCCCCAAGGCUAAAAGUCUUAAAUAUUUUUAAUAAAUUUUACCAGCAAAGAGGAGGCAAGUCGUAACAUGGUAAGUGUACCGGAAGGUGUACUUGGACAAACU
rnacentral:rRNA from 1 species